CCUACGGGAGGCAGCAGUGGGGGAUAUUGCACAAUGGGGGGAACCCUGAUGCAGCGACGCCGCGUGGGUGAAGAAGCGCCUCGGCGCGUAAAGCCCUGUCAGCAGGGAAGAAAAUGACGGUACCUGAAGAAGAAGCCCCGGCUAACUACGUGCCAGCAGCCGCGGUAAUACGUAGGGGGCAAGCGUUAUCCGGAUUUACUGGGUGGAAAGGGGGCGCAGACGGCGAUGCAAGCCAGGAGUGAAAGCCCGGGGCCCAACCACGGGACUGCUCUUGGAACUGCGUGGCUGGAGUGCAGGAGGGGCAGGCGGAAGUCCUGGUGUAGCGGUGAAAUGCGUAGAUAUCAGGAGGAACACCGGUGGCGAAGGCGGCCUGCUGGACUGCAACUGACGUUGAGGCCCGAAAGCGUGGGGAGCAAACAGGAUUAGAUACCCGAGUAGUC
rnacentral:rRNA from 1 species